UUAAAUAUUCUGAAGAUAAACCAAAAUAAUUGUUAAAAUUCUAACAUAUUUGAUAAUAUUUUAUUGGAAAUAAUAAUAUUCAUAGAUGAACAAUCACCAGAAUUGAUAAAUGUAUAGAAAACAAUGAUUUAAUUUUUAAACUUUAUACCUUAACGACAUUUAAAUCAUCACAUAUAAUAUAAUUGGAUUUCAAUUCUAAAAAACGACUUCAUAUCAACACCUAAUUUUGCGGCAAAACACAAAAACAAAUGAUUGAUAAUUAUGUGUGUUUUUUUAAGAGAUCAAUGCUUUUUAAUGUACAUGUCAUCAUAAUAAAUUUAUAGUAUCAUGCAGUUCAAUUUACUGAUAUCAUUAUUAAUGAGAAAGACAAUCAUUCUAUUUGUAAAGAUUCGAAACCUCACAAAUUUUAUUUAAUUCAUUUUAAAGGAAUAUUCUUGACAAGGAGUGAAGCAUGGGCAAUAUCUUGUCAUCACUUUCAUUUUGCAUUUAUUAUUAAAGUUCUUGGUAUUAGUGAUGCACAUCUCUCUGAGCAGGUAUUCUCAACAGAAAAUUCAUAACAAUCCUUCAGAUCAAAAGUUAAUUUUUAUUGUGUAGUCAAUUGAUAUUAAUGAUGCAAUAAUGUGCUGUGCCUUGCUCCACAUAUUCUAUGAAUACACAUGUGGAAUUUCAUAUAUUAUAGAAAAACCAGAAAGAUCUCAAAACCAUCACCUAACUUUCUUCCAAUAUAUCUUCAUUGCAUUUCUUUGCACCCCAUACUCCUUUUCUUUCAAUUCAUCUCUUUUCCCUAUGAAUAAAUAUAUAUAUAUAUAUAUAUGCACUAGAAGGAACUCAUUUAGCAAGCUGAAUGCUUGUCAAACUCAUUUAGCUACUUAAUCAUUUGUGUGCUAUUAAAAUAUUGGCUGUAGAUUUUAUAAAAUAAAUUAUUGGGGAUUAUAUAUUCAUUUUUAAUUCCAAUCUUUAAUUUUUUUUGUUACAAUCUUCAAAAUGGGUGUUCCACAUAUUCACAAAAAAUGAGAUAAGGAGUGAAGAAGGUUACUAGUUUUGUUAACAUCACAUUUUUGAAGAGAAGGCUUCAUAUUUUAUUCUUCUAAUGAAUUAAUUCUCCAAAAUGGAAGGUCCAAAUUAUACAUACAUACACACAUGUACAAUAUAUGUAAUAGAACUUUUCAAACUGUUGCUCCUUGAGCUCCAUGUCCUCAGAGAAUAGAAUUUGCACAUGUUCCAUGUGUUCCUAGUGUUCUUGGUGCUCCAAAGACUCCUGUGUGGGUUCAUGGGCAAUGUAAGCCUGCAACAAUUUGGUGCUGAGAGUUUAAAAAUCCAACAAAGAGCCAAAACUAUUCAUUGUGAGUGCCACUUUCAAAGAAAUGGUAAUUCUGUGGAUACUUGUGUUGUG
rnacentral:lncRNA from 1 species